CCAAACUUGGUCAUUUAGAGGAAGUAAAAGUCGUAACAAGGUUUCCGUAGGUGAACCUGCGGAAGGAUCAUCAAUAGUUCCAUAAUAUUACCUUCUUGAGCAUUGUUGUUGAUGUGUAGACAGUCAUAUGGUGUGUCGUUAAACGGAGGGGGGAGAUGGUGUGUAUGGUCGUUGUCACUUGACGGUGGGAAUGAAUAAAUACACGAUAACCAUGUUAUACCCAACGCUACCGCCACCAUGUGUUUGUUGUUUGUUAUACAUAAAAACCCUGUUAAUAUAAAACAAGUCUGAUGCAGUUUUGUAUGUUGUGUAUUUCCAUUGCCGUCGUUGUGUAUUAUAUAUAAUGAUGGUAACGGUUAUAUUGCAUAGUCAAUAUUAAUUACAAUACAACUUGCAGCGAUGGAUCUCUAGGCUCUGGCAUCGAUGAAGAACGCAGC
rnacentral:misc_RNA from 1 species